UACGUAGGGGGCGAGCGUUGUCCGGAGUUACUGGGCGUAAAGCGCCCGCAGGCGGUUUGGCAAGUGCGCGGUGACAGCCCCUGGCUUAACGAGGGGAGCGGCGCGCAGACUGCGAGACUUGAGGGCCAGAGAGGGACAUGGAACUCCGGGUGGAGUGGUGAAAUGCGUAGAGAUCCGGAAGAACACCAAAGGCGCAGGCAGUGUCCUGGCUGGUACCUGACGCUCAGGGGCGAAAGCGAGGGGAGCGAACGGG
rnacentral:rRNA from 1 species